UACUUCAUUAGAACGUAUGAAAAAGAUUUCCUGGCAGAUAAAGAAGAUACUGCCACUUACAGGUUUAUUGGGAUGUAACCCCAUCAUCAGUAAGUCAAGGAGCAUCUGCAUAUGAAAGAUCUGGAAUACAUUUUUAAGGUACAAGUUACAAUAUUCCUGUGAUUACAGAAGGCUAUAGUACAAAUAAGAAAAGGCUCAUAAAACCCAAGAAAUCUAAGAUAGUGCACCCUGCCAUCAAACUGCCAGGAACAGGACGUACAAGUACUAACUGCCUUCAUUAGCUUGUUCACCAUUAUCACAGUUGUGAAUAAUGAAAUCAUUUCCAGAGCCAUUUGCCAAAC